rnacentral:tRNA from 2 species
GAGAUAUUAGUAAAAUAAUUACAUAACUUUGUCAAAGUUAAAUUACAGUCCAACACUGUAUAUCUUA